rnacentral:rRNA from 1 species
GAUGAACGCUGGCGGCGUGCCUAAUACAUGCAAGUCGAGCGAACAGACGAGGAGCUUGCUCCUCUGACGUUAGCGGCGGACGGGUGAGUAACACGUGGAUAACCUACCUAUAAGACUGGGAUAACUUCGGGAAACCGGAGCUAAUACCGGAUAAUAUAUUGAACCGCAUGGUUCAAUAGUGAAAGACGGUUUUGCUGUCACUUAUAGAUGGAUCCGCGCCGUAUUAGCUAGUUGGUAAGGUAACGGCUUACCAAGGCAACGAUACGUAGCCGACCUGAGAGGGUGGGCAGCAAGAAGGAAACGAAGAACAGGUCGAGAGUAGUAAGGGAGGGAACAGUGAGGAAUAGUAAACAAUGGUCGAAAGACGGACGGAGAAACGACGCGGGAAAAAAGAAGGUGUUAGGAACGAAAAACAGUGUGAUGAAGGAAAAACAAAAGUGGAAGAACAGGUACGCGUCUAGACGGUAUCUAAGCAGAAAGCCACGGCUAACUAAGAG